rnacentral:rRNA from 1 species
UGAUUCCUACGGGACGCAGCAGUGGGGAAUAUUGGGCAAUGGGCGCAAGCCUGACCCAGCAACGCCGCGUGAAGGAAGAAGGCUUUCGGGUUGUAAACUCCUUUUCUGAGGGACGAAGAAAGUGACGGUACCUCAGGAAUAAGCCACGGCUAACUACGUGCCAGCAGCCGCGGUAAUACGUAGGGGGCAAGCGUUAUCCGGAUUUAUUGGGUGUAAAGGGCGUGUAGGCGGGAAUGCAAGUCAGGUGUGAAAACUAUGGGCUCAACCCAUAGCCUGCCUUUGAAACUGUAUUUAUUGAGUGCUGG